rnacentral:rRNA from 1 species
AUGAACGCUGGCGGCGUGCCUAAUACAUGCAAGUCGAGCGAGCAGACGAGGAGCUUGCUCCUCUGACGUUAGCGGCGGACGGGUGAGUAACACGUGGAUAACCUACCUAUAAGACUGGGAUAACUUCGGGAAACCGGAGCUAAUACCGGAUAAUAUAUUGAACCGCAUGGUUCAAUAGUGAAAGACGGUUUUGCUGUCACUUAUAGAUGGAUCCGCGCCGCAUUAGCUAGUUGGUAAGGUAACGGCUUACCAAGGCAACGAUGCGUAGCCGACCUGAGAGGGUGAUCGGCCACACUGGAACUGAGACACGGUCCAGACUCCUACGGGAGGCAGCAGUAGGGAAUCUUCCGCAAAGGGCGAAAGCCUGACGGAGCAACGCCGCGUGAGUGAUGAAGGUCUUCGGAUCGUAAAACUCUGUUAUUAGGGAAGAACAAAUGUGUAAGUAACUAUGCACGUCUUGACGGUACCUAAUCAGAAAGCCACGGCUAACUACGUG